rnacentral:rRNA from 1 species
CCUACGGGAGGUAGCAGUAGGGAAUCUUCCACAAUGGGCGAAAGCCUGAUGGAGCAACGCCGCGUGGGUGAAGAAGGUCUUCGGAUCGUAAAACCCUGUUGUUAGAGAAGAAAGUGCGUGAGAGUAACUGUUCACGUUUCGACGGUAUCUAACCAGAAAGCCACGGCUAACUACGUGCCAGCAGCCGCGGUAAUACGUAGGUGGCAAGCGUUAUCCGGAUUUAUUGGGCGUAAAGGGAACGCAGGCGGUCUUUUAAGUCUGAUGUGAAAGCCUUCGGCUUAACCGGAGUAGUGCAUUGGAGACUGGGAGACUAGAGAGCAGAAGAGGAGAGUGGAACUCCAUGUGUAGCGGUGAAAUGCGUAGAUAUAUGGAAGAACACCAGUGGCGAAAGCGGCUCUCUGGUCUGUAACUGACGCUGAGGUUCGAAAGCGUGGGUAGCAAACAGGAUUAGAUACCCGAGUAGUC